UACGAAGGGGGCUAGCGUUGUUCGGAAUUACUGGGCGUAAAGCGCACGUAGGCGGAUCGAUCAGUCAGGGGUGAAAUCCCAGAGCUCAACUCUGGAACUGCCUUUGAUACUGUCGGUCUAGAGUAUGGAAGAGGUGAGUGGAAUUCCGAGUGUAGAGGUGAAAUUCGUAGAUAUUCGGAGGAACACCAGUGGCGAAGGCGGCUCACUGGCCCGGUACUGACGCUGAGGUGCGAAAGCGUGGGGAGCAAACAGG
rnacentral:rRNA from 1 species